UACGAAGGGGGCUAGCGUUGUUCGGAUUCAUUGGGCGUAAAGGGUGCGUAGGCGGCGCGUUAAGUCGGGUGUGAAAUCUCGGGGCUUAACUCCGAAACUGCAUUCGAUACUGCCGUGCUUGAGGACUGGAGAGGAGACUGGAAUUUACGGUGUAGCGGUGAAAUGCGUAGAUAUCGGAAGGAAGACCAGUGGCGAAGGCGGGUCUCUGGACAGUUCCUGACGCUGAGGCACGAAGGCCAGGGGAGCAAACGGG
rnacentral:rRNA from 1 species